GAUGAACGCUGGCGGCGUGCCUAAUACAUGCAAGUCGAGCGAACGGACGAGAAGCUUGCUUCUCUGAUGUUAGCGGCGGACGGGUGAGUAACACGUGGAUAACCUACCUAUAAGACUGGGAUAACUUCGGGAAACCGGAGCUAAUACCGGAUAAUAUUUUGAACCGCAUGGUUCAAAAGUGAAAGACGGUCUUGCUGUCACUUAUAGAUGGAUCCGCGCUGCAUUAGCUAGUUGGUAAGGUAACGGCUUACCAAGGCAACGAUGCAUAGCCGACCUGAGAGGGUGAUCGGCCACACUGGAACUGAGACACGGUCCAGACUCCUACGGGAGGCAGCAGUAGGGAAUCUUCCGCAAUGGGCGAAAGCCUGAAGGAGCAACGCAGCGUGAGUGAUGAAGGUCUUCGGAUCGUAAAACACUGUUAUUAGGGAAGAACAUAUGUGUAAGUAACUGUGCACAACUUGACGGUACCUAAUCAGAAAGCCACGGAUAACUAAGUG
rnacentral:rRNA from 1 species